CGAGAUAUACAGGGAGUUUAGAAUCGAAUUUUCCACCCGAUUUUGUUACUAUUUUUACUAUUUUAGUACAGAAUCUGUACUAAAACCACUAAUUCUGUUUUGUGAUUGGCGCGGUUUAAUCAAAGAAUCGCCCCGUUGAACCAGAGCCUUCGCGACAUUUCAAUUUAUUAUUUACUGUCGAAGGCUCUGGAAUCCAGGGUAACUGGUUGUAGGCCUACAGUUUUCCCGAGAAACGUCAAUGAGAUAUCGGCUGGAAUGUGUUUCAGCAUCUGCUGUGUUCCAAAGAACAUAAUCUUCGUUUUAUCUGGGUUAGCAAGCAGGCAAUUGUUAGUUAAAGGCACAGUUCAGCCUUUUGAACGAUGGUUUUUAAGGCGCAUUUCAGCCCUUUUAAUUGAAAAAACUAACUAGGAAAAUCAAUUAAGCAUAAUUCAAGAUCACCAAACUUAAUGUUUUUA